UAGGGAAUUUUUCACAAUGAGCGAAAGCUUGAUGGAGCAAUGCCGCGUGAACGAUGAAGGUCUUUAAGAUUGUAAAGUUCUUUUAUUUGGGAAGAAUGACUUUAGCAGGUAAUGGCUAGAGGUUGACUGUACCAUUUUGAAUAAGUGACGACUAACUAUGUGCCAGCAGUCGCGGUAAUACAUAGGUCGCAAGCGUUAUCCGGAUUUAUUGGGCGUAAAGCAAGCGCAGGCGGAUUGAAAAGUCUGGUGUUAAAGGCAGCUGCUUAACAGUUGUAUGCAUUGGAAACUAUUAAUCUAGAGUGUGGUAGGGAGUUUUGGAAUUUCAUGUGGAGCGGUGAAAUGCGUAGAUAUAUGAAGGAACACCAGUGGCGAAGGCGAAAACUUAGGCCAUUACUGACGCUUAGGCUUGAAAGUGUGGGGAGCAAAUAGGAUUAGAUACCCUAGUAGUCCACACCGUAAACGAUAGAUACUAGCUGUCGGGGCGAUCCCCUCGGUAGUGAAGUUAACACAUUAAGUAUCUCGCCUGGGUAGUACAUUCGCAAGAAUG
rnacentral:rRNA from 1 species